UCCAGGGAGCGCGCCUGCAGGAAGCGGCCCUUCAAAGCCAGAGUCUCCGCAGCCCCUCCGCAGCCUCAGGGUCCGCUACAGCCAAGGCGUUGCGACCUUGAGGAGGGGCCACUUCCCUGGUUUCCAGGUUCUUUGAGCCCCAUCUGCUGAGGUUCUGGCUGAGUAGGUCUGAGAUGCAGACAGAUAACAUUGGCUGUACUCUCAAAUAACUGCACACCAUCAGAUGGUAAUAGCUACUGUGAAGAAAAAUAAAGCAGGGUUCAGACUCAAGUGAUCAAGAAAGGCAUCUCUGAGCAGAUGAUGGUUGGAUAGAGAUCCGCGUGGAGUCAGAGGUA